rnacentral:misc_RNA from 1 species
GUAGGUGAACCUGCGGAAGGAUCAUUACAGAGCACCGGGUACUGGGCCCCCGGGCCAGCCCGACCUCCUACCCCUGUGAACAUACACCGUUGCUUUGACGGGCCCGCGCGGGCCGGUGGGCGCCCGUCAGAGGCCCCCCAAACCCUCUCAGCCGUGACGUCUGAGUACCACACAAUAGUUAAAAACUUUCAACAACGGAUCUCUUGGUUCUG